rnacentral:lncRNA from 1 species
AAUAACUGAUUAUUACUGAAUAAUUGACUGUUACCGGAUAAUUGACUGUUACUGGAUAUUAGACUGUUACUGAAUAACUGAAUAUUACUGAAUAAUUGAUCAUUACUGAAUAACUGAUUGUCACUGAAUGAAUGACUGCUACUGAAUAACUUAAUAGUUACUGAAUAUCUAAUUUUAUUGAAUAAUUGACUGUUACUGGAUAACCGAUCAAUUGAUCGAUACUGAAUAACUGUUUAUUAUUUAAUAGUUGAUUGUUACCGAACAACUGACUGUUACUGAAUAAAUAAUUAUUCUGAGUGUUAAUGAACAUUACUGAUUGAUUAAUUG